ensembl:snRNA U7 U7 small nuclear RNA
UAGUGUUAUAGCUCUUUUAGAAUUUAUCUAGUUAUGUUUGACUGGAAAACCUCCA